ensembl:snRNA U6 U6 spliceosomal RNA
GUGCUCACUUUAGCAGCACAUAUAUUAAAAUUGAAACAAUACAGAGAAGAUUUGCAUGGCCCCUAAUCAAUGAUGACAUGUAAAUUGACAAAGUGUUCCACAUUUUU